rnacentral:rRNA from 1 species
GAUCCUGGCUCAGGAUGAACGCUAGCUACAGGCUUAACACAUGCAAGUCGAGGGGCAGCGGGAUUGAAGCUUGCUUCAAUUGCCGGCGACCGGCGCACGGGUGAGUAACGCGUAUCCAACCUUCCGUACACUCAGGGAUAGCCUUUCGAAAGAAAGAUUAAUACCUGAUGGUAUGAUGAGAUUGCAUGAUAGCAUCAUUAAAGAUUUAUCGGUGAUGGAUGGGGAG